UACGUAGGGUGCGAGCGUUGUCCGGAAUUAUUGGGCGUAAAGGGCUCGUAGGCGGUUUGUCGCGUCGGGAGUGAAAACGCCGGGCUUAACUCGGUGCUUGCUUUCGAUACGGGCAGACUAGAGGCAUGCAGGGGAGAACGGAAUUCCUGGUGUAGCGGUGAAAUGCGCAGAUAUCAGGAGGAACACCGGUGGCGAAGGCGGUUCUCUGGGCAUGUCCUGACGCUGAGGAGCGAAAGUGUGGGGAGCAAACAGG
rnacentral:rRNA from 1 species